rnacentral:rRNA from 1 species
GCUCAGAUUGAACGCUGGCGGCAGGCCUAACACAUGCAAGUCGAACGGUAACAGGAAGAAGCUUGCUUCUUUGCUGACGAGUGGCGGACGGGUGAGUAAUGUCUGGGAAACUGCCUGAUGGAGGGGGAUAACUACUGGAAACGGUAGCUAAUACCGCAUAACGUCGCAAGACCAAAGAGGGGGACCUUCGGGCCUCUUGCCAUCGGAUGUGCCCAGAUGGGAUUAGCUUGUAGGUGGGGUAACGGCUCACCAAGGCGACGAUCCCUAGCUGGUUUGAGAGGAUGACCAGCCACACUGGAACUGAGACACGGUCCAGACUCCUACGGGAGGCAGCAGUGGGGAAUAUUGCACAAUGGGCGCAAGCCUGAUGCAGCCAUGCCGCGUGUAUGAAGAAGGCCUUCGGGUUGUAAAGUACUUUCAGCGGGGAGGAAGGGAGUAAAGUUAAUACCUUGCUCAUGACGUACCCGCAG